UACAGAGGUGGCAAGCGUUGUUCGGAAUUACUGGGCGUAAAGGGCGCGUAGGCGGUCUUCUAAGUCUUGUGUGAAAUCCCUCGGCUCAACUGAGGAACUGCACGGGAUACUGGAAGACUUGAGUUCGGGAGAGGGAAGCGGAAUUCCGGGUGUAGCGGUGAAAUGCGUAGAUAUCCGGAGGAACACCGGUGGCGAAGGCGGCUUCCUGGACCAACACUGACACUGAUGAGCGAAAGCCAGGGGAGCAAACGGG
rnacentral:rRNA from 1 species